rnacentral:rRNA from 1 species
CACGUAGGGCGCAAGCGUUGUCCGGAAUUAUUGGGCGUAAAGAGCUCGUAGGCGGUCUGUUGCGUCCGCUGUGAAAACUCGGGGCUUAACCCCGAGCCUGCAGUGGAUACGGGCAGACUAGAGGUAGGUAGGGGAGAAUGGAAUUCCCGGUGUAGUGGUGAAAUGCGUAGAGAUCGGGAGGAACACCUGUGGCGAAGGCGGCCACCUGGGCCGACCCUGACGCUGAGGCGCGAAGGCGUGGGGAGCGAACGGG